GUGUUUGCUUCAGCAGCACAUGUACUAAAAUUGGAAUGAUACAGAAAAGAUUAGCCUGGUGCCUAUGUAAUGAUAACACACAAAUUCAUGAAGUAUUCCAUAUUAGA